ACUUCUUUGCCGCCGGGUAAAGAGCUAAGCGUCAGAUUUUCUAUCGAUAGGCCUUUGAAGAUAGAAAUCUGGCGUUCUUUUUUU
rnacentral:ncRNA from 1 species